CCCUUAUUCAGGUAAACAUAAACACACACACUCCCCUUAUUCAGGUAAACAUAAACACACACACUCCCCUUAUUCAGGUAAACAUAAACACACACACUCCCCUUAUUCAGGUAAACAUAAACACACACACUCCCCUUAUUCAGGUAAACAUAAACACACACACUCCCCUUAUUCAGGUAAACAUAAACACACACACUCCCCUUAUUCAGGUAAACAUAAACACACACACUCCCCUUAUUCAGGUAAACAUAAACACACACACUCCCCUUAUUCAGGUAAACAUAAACACACACACUCCCCUUAUUCAGGUAAACAUAAACACACACACACUCCCCUUAUUCAGGUAAACAUAAACACACACACACUCCCCUUAUUCAGGUAAACAUAAACACACACACACUCC